GAUGAACGCUAGCGGCAGGCUUAAUACAUGCAAGUCGAGGGGUAGCAAGAUUGUAGCAAUACAGUUGUUGACGACCGGCAAACGGGUGCGGAACACGUACACAACCUUCCUACAAGUGGGGAAUAGCCCAGAGAAAUUUGGAUUAAUACCCCGUAACAUAGCGAUGUGGCAUCACAUUGCUAUUAUAGCUUCGGCGCUUGUUGAUGGGUGUGCGGCUGAUUAGAUAGUUGGCGGGGUAACGGCCCACCAAGUCUACGAUCAGUAGCUGAUGUGAGAGCAUGAUCAGCCACACGGGCACUGAGACACGGGCCCGACUCCUACGGGAGGCAGCAGUAAGGAAUAUUGGACAAUGGACGCAAGUUUGAUCCAGCCAUGCCGCGUGAAGGAUUAAGGUCCUCUGGAUUGUAAACUUCUUUUAUAAGGGACGAAAAAAGGUCUUUCUAGAUCGUCUGACGGUACCUUAUGAAUAAGCACCGGCUAACUCCGUGCCAGCCGCCGCAGUAACAC
rnacentral:rRNA from 1 species